rnacentral:tRNA from 1 species
GGUUAUAGCUCAGCGGUAGAGUACUUGCCUCCCAUGCAUGAGGCACUGAAUUCAAUCCUCAGCACCA